AGAAGACGGAGAACUCACACCUGCCCAUAACGGUUCUGGACUGAAAGAGUCAUGUGUCCUCCCCCCAGAGUCCUCGGCCAGCACUGUUUCUGUAGCCCCAUCCCAGCUGCAGGGGAACACAGGUACCUAGGGACACACAGGUAGCAUGAAUUUGUGCCUUAAAACUGUAAGAGGACCUGGUGGUGUUGGAAAUUUUCAGUGAAACUUUACCUAACCACCUGCUUCCAGCCAGAGCCAAGGCUGCUAGAUUAGAUUCCACUUGAAUCGCCUUCCACCAAGGGUUCUGGACUCUCACAUCUCCUCAUAUCUUACACGCUUGCCUUGCAAACCACCGAACGGAGGCUGUUAGGUGUUAACCUUACCUUGGGUGCCACCGAAACGGAGAAAUGGAGUCUCCACCUUCAAUGGGGCUGGCAAGCUCCUCCCCUCUGGAGCAGGAGACGCCCUCACAUUCCGCCGGACCGGAAGCCGUCUUCCCGUCCCGCCCACACGCUCAGCUGCGCGUGCGCACACCUGGUUUCCUUCCCACCGAGUCAGAGGCCGCGACGUCCCUGUGUGCCUCACGGGAGCCCGUGUCUGCGGGCUCCGCUCUCUCCCUGGGCCACCGCCUCGUCAACUGCACGUGAAUAGGCUCACGUCUCCGAAGUAAAGCAAAACCUGUGCACACGCCUUCUCUCCAGAUACCAGGCCAGCUUCCCUUUCGGUUGCCAGCUGCUGGAAAGCGUCGUGUUCCCUGCCUCCCGAGUCCCUGGCCUCGGCGACCCCGGGCUGGGGGCCACGAGGGCCCGCCGCCCUGCUGCUGCUGAGGCUGAGGCUGGAACCGCCGGUCCACGGUCCGCGGGGCGGGCAAGGCUGUCCUGCCGUCUGGAGCGCUCAGUGCCACUGGCGUUCCACCAAGGUAACGCUCCCCAUCUUUCUAGAAGAGUAACUCCAGCGUUUUCACUUCUUGGGAUUUUUAAAAAUUACAGCCACUCUAUCCAGAACACAUUAAACGAUGCACAAAUUGAUGAGGAAAAAGUGAGCAUUCUCGCUCGCCCGAUGUGAAGCUUUCCGCGUGAGGAAGCUUCCGCGCUGUCUCCGGCCGCAGAAACACACGCGGUGAGAGGGUGUCUCCUCCUCCCUCCCUCCCUUUGUCAGCUUCCUUUCAUUAGAGGUAAAUGUUUUGUUCCUCUGAGUUGUUAGGGGGGAACACGUCCUCCCCCUCGCGAUGGAUGGUUCAGUCCGUGCGAGGGGUGUGAACCUUCUCUACUCUUCCCCGUGGCUUCUCUGCCCACGUGACCUGAUAGAAUGAGGAGACUUCAGCUGGUCCUUGCGCAUCUUCUCCCCCUUCCCUCGUGGGGAGGGGUCUGCGCUGGGGCAGCACUGCUCUGGCCGGUCACGUGUUGUAGGAUUCGCAUAUCCAGUAUUAGGAGGACAUUCUUCUCUGACGCUAGACUGUGUCUGCCACCAGACCUGCUGGUCCAGCCAAAGGUGGUGUUUGGUGCCCUUCUGCCUUACUUUUUGUCAUAUAUCUCAGUUUGCUCAGAAUUCAAGUCAGAAAGGGGGCGAGAUAACAUUUAUUCAGACAUAUGUUAAUGAAAACUUAAUAGUCAAUCUAUGAAAGAAAAGGAAACUUUUAUUUGAGACAAAUUGGAGGAUUAUAACUGGGGAACAACCCCUCAGAAACCUCCAAGAGCUGUUCUGUCUGUUAGAAGUCGAAACACAGUUACAUAAAAUUUUUGAGACAGAGACAUUAGAUGACGUAUUAUUGACAGUUCACACAAUCCAGAUCUGUAAGUACAAAGUAUUGGGUCAUCCUGACCCCUGACAAGAUCAGGAAGGAACGUUAUCUGUAAGGAGUUGUCUUGUUGGUGCGAGCAGGUAUUUCUGCCAGCGGGGGAGUUUUUUUCGAUGCAUAAGGCAGAUACAAAAUGCACAGUGGGGGGAGAGAGGAGGCCAAAGGGCAGAGAAAAAUUGUUUUAUGUUUAAAUUUUUCUUGCUAUAGAAUGUGAACUUUAUUUUACACAUUUCUACAUUUAAUGAAUUGUCCUUUUUUAUCCGUGAGGGUAGCCCUUUGUAUAUUGGGUAUAAUUCUAUUAGGUAUAAUUCUAUCUCAUGUACCUCAGAGUAUAUUAUUUGUCAUGACUUUGUUAAUGGUUUUUCUCCCUUUACAUAAGUGUCUAAUUGCUGUGUCGUCAAAUAUGUUGGCCUUUUCUUUUUUGGCCUCUCCCACACAAAAGUUACACAUUCUCCUAAAUUUUCUUUUAGCAUUUCAGUGUUUAUAUUUUGAUCUUUAAUAUAUCUGAAGCUUACUUUUGCACAUAGUUUGAAGUAGGGGGUCCAGUUUUUUAGUUUUUCCAGAUGAAUAGUCAAUUAUGCCAGCA